rnacentral:snRNA from 1 species
GUGCUUGCUUCGGCAGCACAUAUACUAAGGUUGGAACGAUACAGAGACAAUUAGCGUGGCCCCUGUGCAAGGAUGAAAUGCCUGAGAUGAUGGGUACCCCACUUAC